UACGUAGGGUGCGAGCGUUGUCCGGAAUUAUUGGGCGUAAAGAGCUCGUAGGCGGUCUGUCGCGUCUGCUGUGAAAUCCCGAGGCUCAACCUCGGGCCUGCAGUGGGUACGGGCAGACUAGAGUGUUGCAGGGGAGACUGGAAUUCCUGGUGUAGCGGUGAAAUGCGCAGAUAUCAGGAGGAACACCGGUGGCGAAGGCGGGUCUCUGGGCAACAACUGACGCUGAGGAGCGAAAGCGUGGGGAGCGAACAGG
rnacentral:rRNA from 1 species